UAAGAAAUCAAAAUUGAGCUGAUUUGUUUUUUUUUGACCCGUUAACCCAUCAUUUCAAAUCCCUAGAUUGUUGAGAAUCAAAUUGGAUAAAAAUGGUGAAAUUUGGAAGAAUACUUCUGAAAGAUGGGAUUAACAAGAAGCUCCUCGAAAUUCUUGUCUGUCCACUUUCUAAGCAACCUUUGAGGCUUUGCGAGAAGACGAAUUCUCUAAUCAGUGAUGCAAUUGGUGUUUCAUAUCCGAUAGUCGAUGGGAUUCCUCGUCUUGUACCAACGGAUGGCAAGAUUAUCGAGACUGAUGAUGCAUCACAUUCUGAUGGCUCUGUUGAUUUGCCUGGUAAUUGAACUGAUGAUCAAAGAGGUAGUUCUUAACACAAUUCAUUGACAAACGGAGUUCAUAAGCUGAUGGAAGAUGUUAAAGAGAAUUAUGUCAGGUGAUUGCAGUACUAAUAUAGAGAAGGAGAAGGAACCUACAAUCCCAACGAACUGAGUAGGACUGUUUUGUUUCCUCCUCCGGCGAACGUGAGCGGUAGUGGAAUAGGAUCAAUGGUGCUGGUAAGACGGCGACUGUUGGGAGUAGUAUCAACGGUGCUGGUAAGCCGGUGCCUGUUGAUAUGGCGAUCACGUUGUGUCCAAGCUGAAUAAUAUUGAAUACUACCUUUUUUAGGCAACCAGGGAAGGUCUAAAAUACCUUUUACUGGAUCAGAAUACCUGUGGUGUAUAUCAAACCUGAAUGUCCCAAAUGCUUCACUGCUGUUAUGCAACAGUAAAGCCAAGAAAAUAACAAAUACCAUGAAGUUACCAGUACAACAAAAAUCAUCCAUUGUAAUCAAAUCAACCCAAUGGCUCAGUUCAAUUGUCAAGAUAUUGUCUGUUCUGGUCUAAUCUUUGGAGC